rnacentral:misc_RNA from 1 species
GAUGAAGAACGCAGCGAAAUGCGAUAAGUAGUGUGAAUUGCAGAAUUCAGUGAAUCAUCGAAUCUUUGAACGCACAUUGCGCCCUUUGGUAUUCCUUAGGGCAUGCCUGUUCGAGCGUCAUUUCAACCCUCAAGCCCUGCUUGGUGUUGGGCGUUUGUCCUGCCUCCGCGCGGGACUCGCCUCAAAGACAUUGGCGGCCGGUUUCCCUUUGCAGGCCACGAGCGCUGCACAGCGAGCGCUCUACGUGGACGCGGGGUCGGCGCACCAGAAGCCCUCUUUCUCGAAUUUUGACCUCGGAUCAGGUAGGGAUACCCGCUGAACUUAAGCAUAUCAAUAAGCGGAGGA